rnacentral:rRNA from 1 species
GAUGAACGCUGGCGGCGUGCCUAAUACAUGCAAGUCGAGCGAACGGAUGAGAAGCUUGCUUCUCUGAUGUUAGCGGCGGACGGGUGAGUAACACGUGGAUAACCUACCUAUAAGACUGGGAUAACUUCGGGAAACCGGAGCUAAUACCGGAUAAUAUUUUGAACCGCAUGGUUCAAAAGUGAAAGACGGUCUUGCUGUCACUUAUAGAUGGAUCCGCGCUGCAUUAGCUAGUUGGUAAGGUAACGGCUUACCAAGGCAACGAUGCAUAGCCGACCUGAGAGGGGGAUCGGCCACACUGGAACGGAGACACGGUCCAGACUCCUACGGGAGGCAGCAGUAGGGAAUCUUCCGCAAUGGGCGAAAGCCUGACGGAGCAACGCCGCGUGAGUGAUGAAGGUCUUCGGAUCGUAAAACUCUGUUAUUAGGGAAGAACAUAUGUGUAAGUAACUGUGCACAUCUUGACGGUACCUAAUCAGAAAGCCACGGCUAACUACGUG